GUGUCAAUGAAGAAAUGGCGGUGAAUGCUUGGAUUAAAUUUUUAAGUUAACUAAGAAGUCUUUAAAUCACUAAAAUGCAUAUAAAACAGGUAAUUAUUCAGGGUUUUAAGAGUUAUCGUGAACAAAUAGUAGUGGAACCUUUUGAUAAAAGGCAUAAUGUAGUCGUUGGACGUAAUGGUUCUGGGAAAAGUAACUUCUUUCAUGCAAUUCAGUUUGUACUAAGCGAUGAAUUUUCACAUCUCAGACCAGAACAGAGACUUGCUCUUCUCCAUGAAGGCACUGGACCCAGGGUGAUAUCUGCUUUUGUGGAAAUCAUAUUUGACAAUUCUGAUAAUAGAAUACCGAUUGAAAAAGAUGAAAUUUUUUUACGCCGAGUUAUUGGUUCAAAGAAGGAUCAAUUUUUCCUUAACAAGAAAGUGGUACCUCGCUCUGAAGUACUGAAUCUUUUGGAAAGUGCUGGGCUUUCUAAUUCAAAUCCAUACUAUAUUGUCAAACAAGGAAAGAUUAAUCAAAUGGCGGUAGCUCCAGACUCACAUAGAUUGAAGCUGUUAAGAGAAGUAGCUGGGACUAGAGUGUAUGACGAGAGGAGAGAGGAAUCUGUCACUAUACUUAAAGAAACUGUUGGCAAGGUCGAGAAAAUCAAUGAUUUUCUACAAACAAUAGAAGAGAGGUUAAAAACGCUCGAAGAGGAGAAAGAGGAACUCAAAGAGUACCAGAAAUGGGAUCGUGCUAGACGUGUCUUAGAAUUCAUCAUCCACGACACUGAACAUAGAGAAAAUAAGCGCAAAUUGGAAGAUUUGGAGAAAAUGCGCGCGAACAGUGGCAAAGAGCAACAGCACUACGCGGAUAUGGUCCGUGAAGCUCAAGACCAUGUGAGGGAAUCUAACAGGAAACUAAAAGACGCCCGAAAGGAUGUGGCCGCGACACGAGAAGAGAAAGAUAUAUUAUCGACAGAACAGCAGCAACUACUGAGGGAGAAGACCAAACUCGAAUUAGCUAUAAAAGAUCUUACCGACGAUGUUGAUGGCGACAAUAAAUCUAAGGAAAGAGCAGAGGCUGAACUAGAACGUCUUCGUCAACAAAUAUCUGAAAAGGAACGUGAACUGGAAGAGCUUAAACCUAAAUAUGAAGAGAUGAAGGCACGUGAAGAGGAAUGCACCAGAGCACUAGCAUUGAAUCAACAAAAGAGACAAGAGUUGUACGCUAAACAGGGUAGAGGUACACAGUUCACGUCCAAGCAAGAUAGGGAUCGUUGGAUCGAGAAGGAACUUAAAUCGCUCAACAAACAGAUUAAAGACAAAAAGGACCACGAGAACAAAUUACGAGAAGAUCUACGUCGAGACGCGACAAAGUUGACAGAGCUAGAAAAACGUAUAGAGGAGAUGACGAAAGAAAUGGAACGGCAGCGAGUGGCUAUCGACGAACACAACAAACAGUACUAUGAAUGCAAGAAGCGGAAGGACCAGGAACAGAGUUCUAGAAAUGAAUUAUGGCGAAAAGAAACAACAUUAACGCAGAAUUUGUCAUCACUUAAAGAAGAUUUGGCGAAGGCUGAUCAAGCUCUACGUUCAAUGGCUGGAAAGCCCAUAUUAAACGGUAGGGACAGUGUGCGAAAAGUUUUAGAAACAUUCCAAGAGAGGGGAGGAGACUGGGCCAAAAUUGCUACGCAGUAUUACGGGCCCGUCAUUGAGAACUUCACCUGUGAUAAGACCAUUUACACAGCGGUCGAGGUUACAGCCGGUAAUCGUCUUUUCCACCACAUAGUAGAGUCGGAUACAGUGGGCACAAAGAUUCUAAAAGAGAUGAACCGUCAGAGCUUACCUGGAGAAGUUACCUUUAUGCCCCUUAACCGUCUCCAAGUUAGGGAUAUGGUGUAUCCCAAUGACAAUAACGCAAUAGCCAUGGUACAGAAGCUAAAAUACGAUCCUAAAUAUGCUAAAGCCAUGAAGUACAUUUUUGGAAAGACACUCAUCUGCAGGAAUCUCGAGUGUGCUACUGAGUUGGGCAAACAGUUCCACUUGGACUGUGUCACAUUAGAAGGAGAUCAAGUAUCCUCAAAAGGGUCCCUUACUGGAGGUUAUUUCAACCAAUCGCGUUCACGUCUUGAAAUGCAAAAGACCAGAUCAGAGCUCAUGGAACAAAUCACUACCUUAGAUGAGGAAUUGAGCACUCUGCGACAGGAGUUGAACAAGACUGAGACAAGUAUAAACACAAUAGUGUCAGAAAUGCAGCGGACAGAGACGAAACAGGGAAAGGCAAAGGACAUAUUUGACAAAGUUAAAGCAGACAUUCGUCUGAUGAAAGAAGAGUUGGCAUCGAUAGAAAGGUUCAGGGGACCGAAAGAACGAUCGUUAGCGCAAUGUCGCUCCAGCUUAGAGGCGAUGCAGGCUACGAAGGAGGGACUGGAAUCUGAAUUGCAUCAGGAAUUAAUGGAGCAACUAUCGACAGCAGAUCAAGGGAAGGUUGACGAACUAAACGACGCCAUCCGGAGACUGACUCAAGAGAACAAAGAGGCCUUCAGUCAGAGAAUGAAUCUCGAAGCUACUAAAAAUAAAUUGGAAAAUCUUCUAACGAAUAACCUUAUAAGACGUAAGGACGAGCUCGUGCAGGCGCUGCAGGAAAUAUCGGUGGAGGACCGCAAGCGUCGCCUCGCCAACAGCAAGGCCGACCUCGCCGCCGCAGAGAAGCGCAUCCGACAGAUCAACCGCGAGCUCGAGGACACCGAGCGCGCCGUGCAGGCCGCCGUGCGCAACGAGAAGGCGCUCAAGGUGGAGCUCGACAAGUGGCGCACCAAGGAAAAAGAAGCACAAGACAAAAUGGAAGAAGAUGCCAAGGGUUUGGAAAAAAUGGCUUCGAAAGAAGUAUUACUGCAGGAGAAAAUUCAAGAGUCCUUAGACAAAAUAGCUGCUCUCGGCACCUUGCCCAAUGCGCCCGAGUUACACUCGAAAUACCAGAAGAUGUCUUUGAAACAGUUAUUUAAAGAGCUGGAGAAAGCGAACCAGCAUCUCAAGAAAUACAACCACGUUAACAAAAAGGCUUUGGACCAGUUUAUAAGUUUUUCUGAACAAAAGGAAAAACUAUACAAGCGAAAAGAAGAACUCGAUAUCGGUGGAGAAAAAAUUCGCGAAUUGAUCGAAACACUGGAGCACAGAAAACUCGAAGCCAUUCAGUUCACAUUCAAGCAAGUCAGCAAAAACUUCACGGAAGUAUUCAAGAAGUUGGUACCUCAAGGGCGAGGGAGUCUUAUAAUGAGAGUUGCGCCGGAUGAGGGGCAGGACACUAACCCCGAUCGCGCCAACGCGGACCCGUUCACCGGCGUCGGCAUCAAGGUGUCAUUCACGGGCGGCGACGGCGACAUGCGCGAGAUGAACCAGCUGUCGGGAGGACAGAAGUCCCUGGUGGCGCUGGCGCUCAUCUUCGCCAUACAGAAGUGCGACCCGGCGCCCUUCUACCUGUUCGACGAGAUCGACCAGGCGCUGGACGCGCAGCACCGCAAGGCGAUCGCCAACAUGAUCCACGAGCUGUCCACGUCGGCGCAGUUCAUCACCACCACGUUCCGGCCCGAGCUGCUGGAGCACGCGCACAAGUUCUACGGCGUCAAGUUCCGCAACAAGGUGUCGCACGUCGAGUGCGUCACCAUCGACGAGGCGCGCGACUUCGUGGAGGACAGCGCCACCCACGCCUAGGUCGGCCGGAUUCGGCACUCAAUACUAUACGGAUUCAUUGAGUAUCUGAACGAACACUAUGUGUAGUGCCUUACCUGGAACUAGAUUUGUCUGACGAUGUUCAUUGUUAUUAGCUAUUACGUCGUGUCAAUUACUAAGAUUAAUCAAUGAGCGAUGAUGAAAAAACCUGGACGACCUCACUAUAUUCCGAAAAAGAGAAUAUUGUUUGGAUCGAGAUCGCGAACUAAUAAAAAACCUUUAUUCAAUUUGAUUAAAAAAGAGAAAAGAUUAAAAAGUUAAAAAUAAUUAUUUGAUGAAAUUUUCUUCAUCUUAAAAUAUUCAUAUUCAUUGGAUCUAAAGUGUACUAAAUAGAAAUGUAUUCGCUAAAAACAUUUCUUUUAAAUGUGUAAAUAAAUUUAAAAAAGAAAAACAAUGAAAUUGUUGUUUUGACAACGUUACUUUCCGUUUAAAUUCGCGAAGCCUCAAUUGUGAUCAAGCUAUUAUGUUCGCUAAAAUAAUUCUGUGUAUUUCUUUUACAAAAGUGCGGGAACAUUUUUUGUUAUAUUUUAGUUUUGUAUUUGAUAUAUUUUAAUCCGAAAGUCGGUUUAUCACAUUCUUCAUUGCUCUUGGUUGGCUCGGAUGACGUUAUCUUUAUCUUUAAUGAGUAAGUUUUCGAUUUUUAUUUAAGAUUAUUAAAUAUAUUGACAUAUUUGUAAUAUUAGAUUUUAAAACCGUGUUAAAUUAAAACACAAGUUAUUAAUAAAUAAAUGAAAAUA